CUUUCCGUCAAGCCAGUCACAAGCCACAUUCAGCGCUCUCAGGACAACGAGGCGAUGUCAGGCUGAAAUAAAAGAAAGUGCACGGACUGGCGAGUGCCUUCAAGGAUAACAUAAGUUCCUGCGAGACUGGAAGCUGUUUACGCCCGAUAGGAGAGUGGAAGAAGAAGCAGUGAUCCAGACAGCGGACAGAGCGGUAGUGGUGGCCGCGUGUGUGCAUGUGUGGACAGUGUUGUUUCAUUUCUCGUUGUCACCAAUGCGGUGACGUACGUUCCUCUCAGUGCAUUAUUAUUGGCAACUAUAUUUUGCAAUAGACACUGUGCCGGAGCAGAAGCAAAUAUGAGCAGCAACUAUAAGGUGUAUCUUAUUGUGGCUGUGAUCCUGGUCUGCACGACUGCAAGUCCCAUAAGGGUAUACUCCGGCACUAGGAUGUUACCCAUCAGGCCUCCCACACCUACACCUAGAUAUGAGGUCCCAUUUCCGCCGAUACCUCCUGCUCCAGUGUACGAGGACUCGGAACCAGAAAACUCAGUCUACACAUUUCCGUUUAAGUUUGGGUACCGAUUGAAACCCCUUAAAUCCCACGUAAGUACACAGGAGGCUC